CCCUUAGAUGUCCGGGGCUGCACGCGCGCUACACUGAAGGAAUCAGCGUGCUAAAACCAUUGUCGAAAGGUAUUGGUAAACCCAUUAAAAUCCUACGUGAUUGGGAUCGGGAAUUGCAAUUAUUUCCCUUGAACGAGGAAUUCCCAGUAAGUGUGGGUCAUAAGCUCGCGUUGAUUACGUCCCUGCCCUUUGUACACACCGCCCGUCGCUGCCCGGGACUGAGCCGUUUCGAGAAAAGCGGGGACUGCUGCUGUCGGGGCUUUCGGGCCUUGGCUUCGGUGGAAACCGCUUUAAUCGCAGUGGCUUGAACCGGGCAAAAGUCGUAACA
rnacentral:rRNA from 1 species